GGCCUUCCUCUCUCAAAUGCGGUGUCCUCCCCGCGCCCAGCGCUCGCUUCGUGCUGGAUCUAGGAUCGGGCGCGUGACCUCACCAGGCAUGUGACCGUGGUGCCACGUGACUCCGACCCGGCUCCAACAAGCCUGACCUUGUAAAUCGCGGCCAGAGGCGGAAAGUGGGCGGUGGCUCGGGGUAGGGGAGGUGGAACCGGAGAAGCCUACCGCUGAGGAAUCAGGAGGCGGGGCCGUGCGGCCGGUGCUCAGGCGAAUGGGAUUCGUCCUUCCGGGUACAUGAGCGAUGGGGUCUCUUAGCAGCCAGUUGGGCUGCCUCCAAAGGUUAAGAAGAGUUUGAACCCACAGAAGUGCGGCUUGUCGUCGGAGGACCGCGGACUGAGGCGGCGGCGCGGUGGAGAUAACUCACUCUUAGUAAUACGUGAAUGUCAUGGGGCAUCCUUGACGGUCGGGAGAUGACUAGUCCCACCCGAGAGGAGUAUUUCCACGGGAACCUUUUUUUGUGGGAUUAGAUAGUAAUUGAAAUCCUGGCCUUUUUAAUUUUGGGGCGCCUCUACGCCACUAUUCUAAAGGAGGAUGGAAGUGAAGCUUAAUUAGGAGUCUUCCUAGCAGCUAAGAUCUCAACUUGGCCAGAGUUCAGCCUGUGAGACAGAAUCAGGAGCCAGUGAUUGCCAAGAGGCUACUGGUGUGCCCUCGAGAAUCUGCUGGUGGUGAGAGCAGCUGCAGCCUUGGCGAAGUGGACCCUCGGGAAGCCGUGGGAAAGUGCUGGAGCUCCCUGGGAGAAUGAUUUGAUGGUGCUCAAGCAACUUCUAAAAGUGAACCACAACAUCUAGAGUGAACCCUAAUGUAAACUAUGGACUCUGAGUGAUGAUGAUGUGUCAAUGUAGGUUCAUCAAAUGUCCCACUCUGGUGGGAGAAGCUGAUAGUGAACUUGGCUGUGCGUGUGUGGGGGCAGGGGGCAUAGGGAACUCUGUACUUCCAUCUCAAUUUUGCUGUGAACCUAAAACUGCUCUAAAAAAAGGAAGUAUAUUUUUAAAAAAUGAACCAUA